GGCGGCUCGGGGCCGCGGGGUCGCAGCGCGGGACGGGACCCCCGGGACCGUGCAACCCGGCUGGGCCCUCACACCGCACCCCGAGCGGAACCCCGUGCGUCUGAGCGUUUGCCAGCACCUUCUGAACCCUGUCAGCCUUGGUGCUGUGCCCACCGCCCUGCGGAGCCUGUUCAGUGUCCAACCUCCUGAGAAUGACUUUUUCCCGAUCUCCAGCCUCAGCCUCUCCUGACCCAGCUCUCUGCCGUUCCCUCAGGUCCUGUCGCUGUCAGCACAGAGCAGAGAUCGCUACUGGCCCCUCACUUCCCCUCAUGAGGAUGCUGGAGAUUGCUGUGAGCUCUCCCCGAGUCUCCUGCAGGCUGAACAGACCAAGUGUCCUAAAGCACUCCCACGGCAUCCCGCCUUCACCAUGCUCGCGGCCUCCUUUGGACACUCCCGGAUAGCUGAAUGAGUUUUUCUAUACUGCGAUGCCCCAAACUGUGUCCCCUCAGUGCCCCCUAGAGAGUCCCGUGUGUGGCCCUGGAGCCCUCAGUGAGGAGAUGUGGUGACGAUCUGCAGGAGAGCCCGGCUGUGCCCGGUCCUGUCCCCUCAGUGCAGUCUCGGUGUGCACCACGGUGACACUGCUGAGGGGACAGGAGCCUGGUGACAGCGCUCUGGGGCGACCUGCCCGGGAGCCCAGCAUGCCCAUCUCUCCCAAAGGCAAACACGCGAGCCUGGACAGUGCUGCAGACCCCGAGACAGGCAAUGGGACACUUUUCUCAAUCAUUUUGCCAGCUAAAAUUGCUGCAAUUCCAAACAGCAUCUAACAGAAACAUGGGGAAUGUGAGGUUUGGGAAGCAUCAGAGCACAAGGAACCACUCUUGAGGGAAUUUCUCCUACCCCACUCCCAGACUGAAGUUCCAUCUCUAAAAAUUGCAUCCCCCAUAUUUUGUUGUAUAAAGGAGAGGAAUAACAGAGGAUCUUUAUAUUCAUUGGGAUCCAGUUAAAGAAAAUUCUCCUUUCGAUACAAGUGUUCAGCUGGGGAUUAGGAGCCCUGUGUCCUCUAUCCCACAACACUGCAAGAAGGAUUACACUGGCCUGGAGUGUUUACAGUCUGAAGGACAAGCAAACAAAAGCGAGAGAGACAGAACAGUUACUGCAAUUCUUGUGAUUUUCACUCCUAGAGAGAAAAGACAGAUAAUUAAAUCUUUAAAAAACCCCACAAAUCUGAUGAAAAGUGAGAAGAGAAAUGCCUGAAGCAAGAAAAGGGGCACAAUAUUGUCAACUGCUAUGGACGAGUUGAGACUUUCAGCUUUCUUUAAGUCUUGCUUUCUGCUUUGAAUUCAUUACAGUGAUGAUUCUACAAUGUAAUGAAUAACACUUAAAAUGUUUGAGUACAGUAUCUGAGGAUGCAGAAUCCAGGCCACAGUUCCAAUUCUGGCAUGAUUCCAUUUCCAUUAAGACUGGUGGCAAUAGGGCAGGCCUUAACCCACAGAAGUGCUUCAGAAGGCAGCAGUUUAUAUCCUCCCAGAGGUGAGGCUUCAGCUCCUACUGCAACGUCUAUACAAUGUCCAGAACAAUCCAGAAUCCGAGGAUCUCAACAUCCUAUCCAACAGCCUACACAGUGCCUGUCUCCAAGGAACAGCAAUGAUGGUAAAACUGCUUUUGUGGCAGUGCAGUGAUAUCAGACACUACCUUCCCCUUGUGCAUUUCGUCAGCAAAGGAAAGGGGAUUGGGUUGAAAGGACAGAUGUCACUGUUGUCACUAAGAUCCCAAGGCACAAAGUCUUUUGUCUUUAUCAUUUGAUAGCAGUCGUUUCCCCAUGGGCUCCAAUGCAGCUCAGCCUCGUGGUGCGCUAGACACAGAAAACCAAACCCUGCUGCUGUCUUGGUAAUUUACACAGGGUGUCAGAAUGACCUUCUAGAAACCACAAAUGUGACCACAAUCCAACACUAUUCUCUCGAGAUAUGCCUGUCAAAUGGAAGGUGGCUUUGUCAACAGGUUUGGAACUUUUUUUAAAAUCUAUUAUUAUUUUAAAAUUUGUUUACAGCAGUGUAAUAUGUAGGUGUUUUUCUAGGAAAGGUCAAAGCCCUCUGUAUUUUUGAUUGGAGCUGCAUCGUUACAUGGUUUAUGAGUUUGCUUUGUGUUCAGAAAACCAGCAGCACACAGGAUUCUGUGGCAUUUCUGCAGCACUGAAUGUGUGUCUUUGUAUCGGAAGAUUUUUCUUCACAAUAACCCAGUAACAAGUUGUUUAUGUAGGAGAGCAGGCUGUGAUGAAAGCUAUAUUAAAUUUUAUCCAUGCUCUUUUACAAUAAUCACACAUAAAUAGCAUACUUCCAGAGGCAAAUGUAACAAAUGUAAUGUUUCCCAUUUCUAGUAGAACCUGAAUCAUUAUUUUUUUCAGAGAUAUAGUCAUAUAUAAAAAAAUUCAACAAUAUUAGUGUGUGGUGUGUACCUUCUUUGUGUAGUCUGAAGACUGCAAGUUAUCUCAACAAUCUUUGCCCAUUGUUUGAAUUUCUAAACUCAGACUGUAGCAAUGAAUUAUUUUAGCUUUGAAUAUCUCUUUUUCAAUCCUUGCUCAGUAUAUUACAUAAAUGGAACCUGAUAUAGGAUUUGCAGCAUUCAGAUCUUCUGGACAAAUUCAUUCCCAGAGAUGAAGUAUAAAAUCUUUUGAUGAGUACAGAAUCUCAGUUUAGACUAAAAAAGUUUAGGCUUUUAAUGCAAGAGGCUUCUGCUUCAACUCUUAUGCUGCUGGUCUUGCCAUUCUGUAAUACACUCAGCUUCCCCCUCCCUCCAAGCAGUGAUAAUAACCAUCACCCACACAUACUUUUAUAUCCUUUAGCAAUUCUUCCAUCGAAAUUGGAGAUGGAUUAUUUCUUAUAUGGCUUCCCAAAUUAAAACUGAGGAGUUUUAACAACAUGUAGCCAGUAUGUUUUUGGAAUUUCAUCCCCCCAAAGUAAAAGCACUUGGAAAUUUCUGAUGGGUUAUGAGUACAAAAAUUAUCUUAACAGUUCUGUUCUUAAAAAGAAAUGACAAGGAUGUUAUUCAAUUUUCCACAGAGGUAUGACAAUAGUGACUAUUUUUGUUUUGAGGGAAGAGGGCAGUGUGAGUACAAGAUUCACCACUCGAUGGCGCCUUGAUUCUGUUCAUCUCCAUUUCUUUUUCCUCUCUGAUGUCUUGACACAAAAUCCCAAAACUGGCUUUGUAGUAAAUCUGUCUGGGAAAGAAUAUUUAUCACAUAUUUCCAAACGAUAGUUUUUAAUGUCUUCUGCAGAAGUAAAUAAAAUUAUUUAAAUUUUCA